rnacentral:tRNA from 1 species
GGGGCUGUGGGGUAGCCUGGUAGCCUAUGAGGUUUGGGGCUUCAUGACCGCGGUUCGAAUCCGCGCAGCCCCA